AACACUUGUUCCUUGUUGAUCACUUUGAUGGCGACGCUCUCGCUCUGGCUCUGGCUCUCGCUCUCGCCGCCGAUGAUCUCCUUGCCGUAAUAGACUUUCGCGAAGGUUCCUUUGCCUAAUAGCCUUCCCAUCUCGUAUUUUCCGAACAGAAUUCGCCGCUCUUCAUCCAUUUGAUAUAUACGUAUCUCUGUUUGAUAUUGUUUCUGGUGACUCUCAGGGAGAAGAAGGGAUAGAGGGAAAACGAAAAGGAAAAGGAGAUGAUGAUGAUGAAGGAGGAGUAAUGAGUAUUAAGAAAAACUGAAGUUGAUCCAUG
rnacentral:lncRNA from 1 species